AUAAAAAAAUUACUUUUUGUAAUAUACCUAGGAUAAGGGGAUGUGAAGAAGAAGAAAAGAUACUCUAAGUUUUACUAUUCAUCAAGGACUGAUUAAGGGGACUUUACUUUUUGGCAAAAUUAUUUGUUGUUUUGUAGUUUAAAGCAUACCCCAAUACUAAUGUAUUUCAUUCUCAGAAAAGCUCUGUGUGGUGAGUGGGUCAGGGAUAACAUCUUUCUUGUUUGUAUGGCUAAGGCAGCUAAAGCUUUCCUGAGGUCAUGUAAUUUUUAGGUGGGAGAACCAGGGGUUCAGAUCAUCUGUGCUGGUGUUUUCCCUUCAUUUAUUCUUAUUAGCCAAUGUUUCUUGAGAGUUAGUGAAGUAGAAAACAUAACAUUUAAUUCUGUAGCAGAGGCUUUAUACAUUUGUAUCUUUCUCCUGAAAAUUACUGCAACCUACACCUUUGCAUUAAGAAACAACUAUUGGGAGAAAUGUAAAAAUGUACUAAAAAGAACAAGGGUAGCUUGUAUUAGGUAUGGAAUUUUAAUUCAGUUAAACUGCUUUAGUUCAGAAGCUGGGUGGGGCAAAAAGGUUUUACAGUUGUAUGUGAAACAGGGUUUAUUCUUGUAUUAUUAUUUAAUAAUUAUUUUAUUAUUUUUCAUACAAACAUCUGUAAGCCUACUUUUUCCCCACCCUGUAUAUGCCUACUUUUAAAGUCAGUAAUUGCAUUUGAAAAGAAUAAAUAUUAGACAUUUGAUAUCAUUUUUAUGUUUUGUAGAGCUGUUUUGAUAUUGUAAAUUGACAUACUCUUAGUGGAAAUAGUAAGUGGUUGUGGAUUCUGUGGGAAAUAUCUUAUAAUAAAUGUCCUGAAUAAGAAGACAAUGUUCAUAUUU